UGUCUUAUCAGACCUGCAAAGAGGAGGAGAACGCUUUGUCUAGAAAUCCGAGAUCGCCGAGUGUAGGUGCCAGGUGGGUGGGAUAGAGACCGGUGGCUUCGGGUAGGAGAGGGGGCGGCCGCUUUGUGAGGGUGACGGGGUCGGCUUGUGUCAGGGUUAGAGCUGUGGGUUUCCUCGUGUGGUUGCGCUCUCCGGCCUAACUCGGGUAGGGGAGGCGGUACCAGUUGCCGGGCGGCGGGUACUACCGUGACUGCGGGGGGUUAAAGGGUACGAUUGCGCACGCUCCGCCGCGGUAACCUAGCUACCGCGCGCACGCGGGAUUACCAUCCCGCCGCACGUCCUCCAGGGGGAAGAGGAGAGAGGGGGACGCGCGCGACCUCGAACUCGACCCGCCCUGCGACUCGCCCUCAAGAACGACCGUCUCCUUCUUCUGCAAGUCCAUCUUCCGCACCUGCAACCCCUCAUCGACACACCCUCCUCCCGCAGUUGCCACCCUACCCACGACCGACCGACCAUGAGCACUUGUACCACUUUUCCCUAGCCACGACGUCGCCAUCCGCAGACCACCGAUACGUCACCGUCGGCGAUGAAUCUAUGCAUCGGCCGUUACCACUCUUCUGAAACUAGAACUAUAUAAUCUACAUUCGGGGUAUGUGGUAUCCUCCUGGCGGAAAACCACUAUAGUCGGCCUACUAUUUUUUCUUCUUCUUCUACUAAGUCAAUAGUUCUCCUACAGACUUGAGACUUGGACUUCCUGUCCUUUAUUUUGUACUCCUCCUAUUACCUUCUCUUCUUCUUCGUCUGUAAUUCUAUUACUUUCUCUUACUCAUCUAUUACUCCUACCAUGACUUUCUCUUCUGCUCUACGUGGAACCGAUUCAUUUCUCAAUCUGGACUUUAACGGUUAUUUCCCUUACUCCAGGGAAAGAGAUAUCUUAUAUCUUCCGUCGAAGCGUCUCCCCAGUGACUGCUCGUUCUCUUUAUUCGGGACCUCGUACAAAGUUACUUCUGAUGACUAGAUCUUAACGGCAUACAAGUACUUGUUAAAAAACAACGACUUUAUUCAGGAUCUCGUCCGAAGCCACUCCUGAUGACUAGAUCUUCGGUAUACAAGUACUUGUUAAAAAACAACGAGACUGACUUGCCUGACAGAGACAUUAAGAACAGACAAACCCACCAGGGGUCGACGCUGUUCUACAGAAGAACGACUUGUUGCGGUGUUAACCUAUCAACAUACAAUAAAUCCUAACGGAGACAACGUAUGGUGGACCUCAAUGUUCUCCAGGACAUGAUUAAAACACAUACAUAGACAAGAUAUAUGUGUACUAAAGUUUCGUAGAAAAGGAUAUGUAAAACAAAGAAACGAGCCAUGUUUUACAUAACGUUCACAACAAGUAACAAAAAAAGGAAAAUACAUUUAUAUGAUGUCUCGGAGAUGGCCGAGUCAAAAGAAGGAAAACAGACUUAUAUAGUCUGUAAAUACAUACUACAUCACUAACAGACUACAGGAUCGUCAACCUACUUCGUUUUUUGGUGUCUUGAUUAUAACAACCGUGUAUACAAAACCCGUUUGUUGAUUUUCUUCUGAUA
rnacentral:rRNA from 1 species